CACUAUCGUUAACUGAAUACAUAGGUUAACGAGGCGAACCGGGGGAACUGAAACAUCUAAGUACCCCGAGGAAAAGAAAUCAACCGAGAUUCCCCCAGUAGCGGCGAGCGAACGGGGAGCAGCCCAGAGUCUGAAUCAGCUUGUGUGUUAGUGGAACGGUCUGGAAAGUCCGACGGUACAGGGUGAUAGUCCCGUACACCAAAAUGCACAGGCUGUGAACUCGAAGAGUAGGGCGGGACACGUGGUAUCCUGUCUGAAUAUGGGGGGACCAUCCUCCAAGGCUAAAUACUCCUGACUGACCGAUAGUGAACCAGUACCGUGAGGGAAAGGCGAAAAGAACCCCGGCGAGGGGAGUGAAAAAGAACCUGAAACCGUGUACGUACAAGCAGUGGGAGCACCUUCGGGUGUGACUGCGUACCUUUUGUAUAAUGGGUCAGCGACUUAUAUUCUGUAGCAAGGUUAACCGUAUAGGGGAGCCGCAGGGAAACCGAGUCUUAACUGGGCGUUAAGUUGCAGGGUAUAGACCCGAAACCCGGUGAUCUAGCCAUGGGCAGGUUGAAGGUUGGGUAACACUAACUGGAGGACCGAACCGACUAAUGUUGAAAAAUUAGCGGAUGACUUGUGGCUGGGGGUGAAAGGCCAAUCAAACCGGGAGAUAGCUGGUUCUCCCCGAAAGCUAUUUAGGUAGCGCCUCGUGAAUUCAUCUUCGGGGGUAGAGCACUGUUUCGGCUAGGGGGUCAUCCCGACUUACCAACCCGAUGCAAACUACGAAUACCGAAGAAUGUUAUCACGGGAGACACACGGCGGGUGCUAACGUCCGUCGUGAAGAGGGAAACAACCCAGACCGCCAGCUAAGGUCCCAAAGUCAUGGUUAAGUGGGAAACGAUGUGGGAAGGCACAGACAGCCAGGAUGUUGGCUUAGAAGCAGCCAUCAUUUAAAGAAAGCGUAAUAGCUCACUGGUCGAGUCGGCCUGCGCGGAAGAUGUAACGGGGCUAAACCAUGCACCGAAGCUGCGGCAGCGACACUAUGUGUUGUUGGGUAGGGGAGCGUUCUGUAAGCCUGCGAAGGUGGCCUGUGAGGGUUGCUGGAGGUAUCAGAAGUGCGAAUGCUGACAUAAGUAACGAUAAAGCGGGUGAAAAGCCCGCUCGCCGGAAGACCAAGGGUUCCUGUCCAACGUUAAUCGGGGCAGGGUGAGUCGACCCCUAAGGCGAGGCCGAAAGGCGUAGUCGAUGGGAAACAGGUUAAUAUUCCUGUACUUGGUGUUACUGCGAAGGGGGGACGGAGAAGGCUAUGUUAGCCGGGCGACGGUUGUCCCGGUUUAAGCAUGUAGGCUGGUUAUCCAGGCAAAUCCGGAUAAUCAAGGCUGAGGUGUGAUGACGAGGCACUACGGUGCUGAAGUAACAAAUGCCCUGCUUCCAGGAAAAGCCUCUAAGCAUCAGGUAACAUUAAAUCGUACCCCAAACCGACACAGGUGGUCAGGUAGAGAAUACCAAGGCGCUUGAGAGAACUCGGGUGAAGGAACUAGGCAAAAUGGUGCCGUAACUUCGGGAGAAGGCACGCUGGUGUGUAGGUGAAGUCCCUGCGGAUGGAGCUGAGACCAGUCGAAGAUACCAGCUGGCUGCAACUGUUUAUUAAAAACACAGCACUGUGCAAACACGAAAGUGGACGUAUACGGUGUGACGCCUGCCCGGUGCCGGAAGGUUAAUUGAUGGGGUUAUCCGUAAGGAGAAGCUCUUGAUCGAAGCCCCGGUAAACGGCGGCCGUAACUAUAACGGUCCUAAGGUAGCGAAAUUCCUUGUCGGGUAAGUUCCGACCUGCACGAAUGGCGUAAUGAUGGCCAGGCUGUCUCCACCCGAGACUCAGUGAAAUUGAACUCGCUGUGAAGAUGCAGUGUACCCGCGGCAAGACGGAAAGACCCCGUGAACCUUUACUAUAGCUUGACACUGAACAUUGAGCCUUGAUGUGUAGGAUAGGUGGGAGGCUUUGAAGCGUGGACGCCAGUCUGCGUGGAGCCAACCUUGAAAUACCACCCUUUAAUGUUUGAUGUUCUAACGUUGGCCCCUGACCGGGGUUGCGGACAGUGUCUGGUGGGUAGUUUGACUGGGGCGGUCUCCUCCCAAAGCGUAACGGAGGAGCACGAAGGUUAGCUAAUCCUGGUCGGACAUCAGGAGGUUAGUGCAAUGGCAUAAGCUAGCUUGACUGCGAGCGUGACGGCGCGAGCAGGUGCGAAAGCAGGUCAUAGUGAUCCGGUGGUUCUGAAUGGAAGGGCCAUCGCUCAACGGAUAAAAGGUACUCCGGGGAUAACAGGCUGAUACCGCCCAAGAGUUCAUAUCGACGGCGGUGUUUGGCACCUCGAUGUCGGCUCAUCACAUCCUGGGGCUGAAGUAGGUCCCAAGGGUAUGGCUGUUCGCCAUUUAAAGUGGUACGCGAGCUGGGUUUAGAACGUCGUGAGACAGUUCGGUCCCUAUCUGCCGUGGGCGCUGGAGAAUUGAGGGGGGCUGCUCCUAGUACGAGAGGACCGGAGUGGACGCAUCACUGGUGUUCGGGUUGUCAUGCCAAUGGCACUGCCCGGUAGCUAAAUGCGGAAGAGAUAAGUGCUGAAAGCAUCUAAGCACGAAACUUGCCCCGAGAUGAGUUCUCCCUGAGACUUUAAGUCUCCUGAAGGAACGUUGAAGACGAUGACGUUGAUAGGCCGGGUGUGUAAGCGCAGCGAUGCGUUGAGCUAACCGGUACUAAUGAACCGUGAGGCUUAACCUU
rnacentral:rRNA from 1 species